UCCUGCGGAUCGCAUCGCCCGUCUCCAGCAGGAUCCGGUUACUCGGAUGAAGAUGCAAACCCCUCUCCGCCGUACAGGCAGGAUUUUUACAGGGAAUUUUCUGGAGAAGGCAGAAGGGCUCACCCUGGGCAGGAGAAUGAUCCUCAGGAUGAGGAGGAAAAGUGACCACUGCUGGCCGUGCUGGAGGUGAGGAGGUCAUCAUCCAAGGGACAAGCCUUGCUGGAAUGCAAAGAUCCAAGAGCUCCUUCCCUCUCCGUCCUGCCCCGUGCAGGAGCAGCACCAAGGAGCCCACAAGAGGAUGUUCAGCAGGACGCCCCAGCCCUGGAGCCCCCCCUGCCCAUCCAAGGAGGAAUUCCCAGUUGGGAAUGUGGCUUUCAUGGCGUGUCCUGGACACAGCUCCACCCCUGGCCUUUUCCCUCCUCGGGAAUUAAGGACUGCGGGCAUUACGGGAUGCCUGGGAAGAGGUGCCACUUCCGAGGCAAAGCCUCUCCCUGGGCAAAGCAGCAGGAAUGGCUGGAAUGUGAUCCAGACUGGAUUCUGGUUUCAGCUGAAUCAAAAAGACAACCCCCCCCUCCCCCCCCCCCCGCAGCCUGCGGAGCCCGCUGGGGUUGGAGGGAAGGGCAGGGCAGCAGCAGGACUGAACCUGCCAGAGCAGCUGGAGGGGGGAGCAGUGGGACCGAGGCCUCCCCAGCCCAAGCUGCCUCACCAGAGCUCCCCCUCCAGCGCGAUCCCAGCGGGAACAGGCUCCGGAGCCCGCGGGAAGCCCACAGCAGCCGUGCUGUGGGGCUGCUCUGCUGCAGCUGCCUCCCUGAGCUCCGAACCCUGCCAGGGCCUGUCCACAGCAGCACAUUCCGGGUGAGUGAAGGGUCUGCGCUCCCCCCGUGCCUUCGGGGUCUGCCCCAAGCUCAGGUUUUGUGUUUGCUCCUCCGGAGUUCACGUUCAGCCCCAAAACAGCCCCGGAUUGCAGUAACAAUUCCCAGCUCUUCCCGCACACAAAGGCAAAGGAGACUUCACAAACUCCACAGGCUUUGUACAAAAACCGCUUUUUUUUGCUUUUAUUUCACAAAAUUGGGUGGCUGCUGCAGGAAUCAAACCGGCCCUAUACAGAGAUCAGGUGAAAAAGUGGGCACAGGGAUUAUUUAUACAGAAACAAAACAGUGUCCAGGAUCCAGGUCCUCGGCAGGAUCAGCACUAGGACAGUAAAAAAUAGUCUCCACCUGGAUCCUGGGAAUCGCUCACGCUAGAAACAACCUGAGGUUACUCUAAACUGGACUAAGGGCUGCACCAGAAAUCCCAUGCUCACCCCAAAGACCCUGGAGGGGAAGGAAGCCUUGGGAAGGGGAAUGGGAAGGCCCCGGCCGCUCUCUGUGCGGCACCGGGGAGUCGUGCUGGAAGACCUGGCAAAUCCUUAAUUUUUAAAUGGUGGAAGUGGUUCCAGAGUUUGUGGGAGUCUCUCUCCAGCCCAACCUCAACUCCCACCCAGCCAAAAGCCACCCUUGAAAUCAAGGAGCAGCCUCCAGACCCUCAGCAGGGAAA